AACAACGGGGCUCCUUCCUGGUCUUGCCGGCCCAAGUCGUGGACGAAUGGCUUUUGUCUGGUUGGCAAUCUGACCAAAAGCUUGUUGGGAUUGGCACACAACAAGGGGGGUAACACUUUCAUGAGUCCUUUGAGUAGGUCUUUGGCUCCUGUAUCAUGGCAUCUUAAACAUAACUCCUUGUAUAUGCAUAACUGAAAUAAGUCAAGAUCUCCACUGACCAUAUGUGAAACUGAUAUAUACAGGUCACAGGCAGACAUCUAGCCUUUCUUGUUCCUCACUGCUCAUGUGUGCAGACCCAGCUGCCUCAUGGUGAUGGCAGCAGGACUGGAGGACAUGAUGAUGAGGGUUGGGCAGGGCUGUGCAGAAGAUGUCUGUGGAUGCUAGUGAUGAAAGGAAGAUGUGGAUGGAAGGAGAGGUCUGUGUAGUCUGUAACUUCAUCCUUCACUGAUGCUGGCCCUUGGCCUGUUGAAGGAAACAAGACCCACAAACGAAAAAUAGGUGUUUUGAGUCUUUUGAAUUUCUUUUGAAACAGAAGAACAACAGAGACUAAAUUUGGAUACUUGUUUUUUCUCACUCACACUAAAAAGACUAACUCUGGAAGAGCAGACAAGUCCACAGUCUGUCCAAAGCACAGAUUCUACAAGGAAUUCAUAGACAUAUUUUUUUUUAUUAGAAUCAAAACCAAGUGAGAACCAUGUUGGAGCAGCUCUAAAGUCAUUUCAGUGUUUAUGCCUUCCUGCAUGCUCCACAGCCACAGGAUGCAACUUGUGACUGAAGCAGGUUAGUGCAGUGGUAUGAAGAAACAGAUACAUUUUUUUUUUUCUUUUUUUUUUUUCGCCUUAGUGAGAUCUGUGUUGCUAAUUUUCUAAAUUCACUGCUUGCACAGCAACAUCUCCCCUCAAGCUCUUUUCCACUGUCUCUAAGGCUUAAUCUUUUAAAACAGUGUCUGUCAACCAAAGGCAAUGAGAAAAAGCAGUCAGGAAGAUUUAGAUCCUAUUACAGUCUUAUGCAAUAAAAUUCUUGUUCCCACAAGGAUCAACAGUUCUGAGCAAGAUUCAGGUGGUGUCCCCAGUGGUCUGUGUAAUUACAGGAGGAAGGAUUACUGCUUUCUGCCAUGAGUUAGGCAUCUAAGUCUAAGCUAGACACAUGACCUUCCCUUUAUAGUCAAUGAAGAGAAAUUGAAGUCUCCAAGGAGAUUCAUCAUUUAAGACUGCUCUAAUAAAUCACUCUCAGGAUGUACUGAUUCCUGUCUAUUGACUGUAAAAGGAGUCACAAAUGAUGAGCUUACCCCAACUUAGACUUAUAUAAAGUCAAUGAAAUAAAGGCUCAUAUGGACCUGGGACCAGUGGAGACUUUUCUCCUACUCUUCUGUCAGCCUCUACGUGCAUACAUGCAGUGGUAUAUUAAAAAUAAUUUUAUCUUUAGAAAUCUUUUACUGUUACACUACUUUCUGUAUAUUCAGAUGGUGACCUUCAAAUGAAAAUCUACAGUUUUCAGGAAUAUUUAAGAAAUUCUGCUUUGCAUUUUUAUCUACCUUUAAGCAAUGGUGAUGGACAAAUGUGAGCUCAGUUAAAGCAAACUGAAUCAGGUACAGUGCAAAAAGCCCUGGGCAAGCUGAGUGGUUUUCUUUGUCCUGGCUGACUAUCUCUUCAAGUACUCUGCUGCUUUAUUUAUGACCUCUUAUCACUUUUAAGUUUAACCUCUUUGCUCUUGACUGCUCUGUUCCUUCUU